UGACUCGAGCCGAGCGCCGGGGGGGCGGGGUGCAGCGGCGCCGCGGGAGGAGCUGGGCGCGGAGCGCGGCCCCUUCCCUGCGGGCGCGCGGCCAGGUUACAGCCACGCUCAGGAGCCUCUUGGGAAAAGCCCAAAAGUCCCCAUUUUGCAGAAAGCCUGCUGGGAUGUGGUGGGACCCCGCGGCGAGAGAAACCCCGGGAGGCCUCGAAAGCCCUGGCUUCCAGGGCCCCACCCUGCCUGGGCAAGGCCUCCCGCGCUCCGGGGCCCGCACUUCCGGCCCCCGCGGGUUCCCUGACCUGCGCUACCGGGCACUUCCGCCGCCAGACACGUGGCCCCGGGGCCUGGAGGAGGCUGCUGGAAGGCCCGGCUCUAGCAGUUGGGGCCUUCACCUGUCCCCGUUAUUUCGUCGCAAGCCCCUGUGGGAAGUGGUGCCGAGGAGGGCCAGAGGGCCUUCACCAGUUUCUGUACUUAGGAGGCAUGGCCUGCAACAAAUGUCGAAAGAAUUACUGAGUGAAUCUGCUGCCUCUUUGGGCAUAUGGUGUGGGAAUUACAUUGAAAUGAUAAAAUCAACAGUGAUCCUUGAAAGGAGCAAGAGCCACAGUACUCCUGAACUAGCAGGAAUGGUGAGAUGUGUCUGA
rnacentral:lncRNA from 1 species